AUGGAGGGGCUGACGGAGAGCGAGGUCGCCGGCUUCGCGGUGGGCGCCUUUCUGCUCGGCGCCAGCAUCGCCGCGCAGAGGGUCGACGGCUUCGUCGCCGCUUCGCAGAGAAGCUCUUUAAACAUGUGCAAGCGCUGUGGUGAUCUUCGGAUGGUGGCAUGUUCACAAUGCAAAGGAGUAGGCUCUGUUAGGAAAGGCGGAACCUUCACAUUCGGCGUGCUUGAGGACAUCUAUGAAUCUCUUGGAGCUGAAACCAAGGCAGCUGAUUUGGUCCCUUGCUCAAAGUGCCGUUCUAAAGGCCGCCUCCCGUGUGCAGAGUGCGCCAAGGUCAGAUGA
rnacentral:rRNA from 1 species